AAUAAACUAUCCUCGCACGUCUUGCCUUGGCUCUUGACAUAAACUCUAUUUUCUUUGAGAAAAUAGUACCAGCUUCUGUGGUGAACUAAAACUGACACACAGGCUGAUAAAGUCAUGGCAGCAAUACAAAGAUAUGCUCUAAUAAUUUGCUACAAAAAAUCCAGAAUCGCUACAGGAUUUGAUUUGCAGCAAAGAUACAAUUACGUCAAUAAUUGGCUCAGGCGUGUGAAGCUUUACAAAAAUUGAAAAAAAUACAAAAAAACACAAUCAGGUAUAUUGUUGACCUUUUUCUAUCUUAAUGUAAUGCACACUAUUUUUUGGUACUUUUCAAACAUAUAUAUUUGAAAGAUUGCCCUUCAAAAUAUUGCAGAACCUAAUAAUUUUACGUCUAGUGCUAAAAAUGAUUUUAGAGAGUACUUCGCCGUACUAAUUCCCAUGGAGCAACUGUCGUUCACUGAGAAACAAGCACACUGUCACAGCAAUAAUGCCAUCCGCUGCAGCUCGAACCACACAACACAAUAAUCCUGAAAGCAUGAUGAUAAGUAUUAUAGGUUGUUUCUACAUGCAGCAAGAAUCUCUUAUUUAGUGCAUAUAUUGUUAAUCUCUUGAGAACAUUGUACAUAAAGUAGAAUUUAAAUAUAGGAUACUAUAUUGCUAAAAGAAUAUCCAAUGCAGAAAUGAAGGGACAGUACACGUCAAAAUCCGCAGGCCAACUUACAAAAGAAGCUAGAGAAGCUAUUAUCAGGAGGAAACAACAACUCCAAGAAAAAAGGAGUAAGAGAUGCAGGAAUACACAUGAAACAACCAAUAAAAAAGAAGAAGAUGCUUCAUGGAAGAGAAAGGAACAAAUCAAAGAAAGAACAAAUUUGAAGCGUGCAAGAACAAGUGGGAGCGACAAUGACCUUGGAAGCAACAUCAAAGAAACAAACAGCAGCACUACGUCCGAGAGUUAUUAUAGCAAAAUAUGAAACUUUGGAAAGCCAACAUAUAGAUGUGAACAUUGCAAUGCAAUAGUAUGGUGUGAAGAAAGAUUAAAUUCUCAUAGAGGAACCAAAAAACCUUCUUUCGGAAUUUUCUGCAAACAAGGUAAGAUUGACCUACCAAAGAUGGCACAUCGUCCACCUUACCUCACAGGACUAUUAACAGGUGAAGGAAGUGAUGCAACAAACUUCAGAGAAAAUAUCAGGUCAUACAACUCAAUGUUCUCAUUCACAUCAAUGGGAGGAGCUGUUGACAAAGAAAUAAACAAAGACAAAGGACCAUAUGUUUUUAGACUGCAUGGCCAGAACUAUCACCAUAUUGGAACUCUUCUACCUGAAGAAGGUAACAAACCUCGAUUUGCCCAGCUAUACAUCUGUCAGACAGAAAAUGAGGUGCAAAACGGGAUAGAUGCUUCAAGAUGCAAUGAUAAUAAAUCAACGGUGGACCCUGCCAUUGUCAAAGAACUACAAAAAAUGCUUGAUGAGAACAACAUCCUCGCAAAAUCUUUCAGAAUGGCAAGAGAUAGAUUCAAAGAAGAAAACUACCAUGAUUACACACUAAGAAUACUUGGGAAAAGGAAUGCAACACACAACCUUCCAUUUGCAUCGGAAGUUGCAGCAUUGGUUGUAAGAGACCCAACUUGAGAGAGCGAAGGACGAGAUACCGUUGUCGAGUACAAAAAUAUGGAGCCUCACAGAAUAUCGGAAAUCCAUCAAAAAUUAAUGUCGAUGCAAUACCCAUUGUUGUUUUCAUACGGAGAAGACGACUUCAAGCUAGAAAUACCUUACAAGCGAACAAAAGAAGGUGACAAAAGCAGGAAAUAUGUAACUAUGCUGGACUACUACGCAUACUACCUACAUCAAAGACCCGACCAAGGAAUGUCGUUGCUAACGUCUAGACAUCUAUCUCUGCAAUUUUGGGUAGAUGUUUACACAUGCAUUGAGCAAAACAGACUAAAUUGGAUCAGGAAUAAUCAAGGGAAGCUACGGACUGAACUUUACAAUGGACUGCAGGACGCGAUUGAGCGAGGGGACACCAGAACAGAGCAGGUUGGAAAGAGGAUAAUUGUACCUUCAUCUUAUACAGGAGGCAGAAGAAACAAGGCACAGAACUUGCAAGACGCUUUUGCAAUAUGCUGUUGGGCUAGAUAUCCAGACCUGAACAUUCACAUGCAACGCGAAGUGGCCCGAGAUCCAAUACAUGCUAGAUGAAGCAGGAGGAGGCCUAAAUCCAGCUGACUGGCCAGAUAUUGUUGACCGAGUAUUCAUGAUAAAACUGAAGGAGCUAAUGAGCGACAUCGUUGUGAAGAAACACUUUGGAGAAACUAUAUCACGUAAGAUCAACCGACUUCUCAUCGCUAACUAAUAGAACCUAAAAUUUAAAUUUUUUAGCACACCAUAGCCUUUGUCUAUUUACUAAAAUGCUUCAGAAAUCUAACAAAAUCAAACUUUUAAUCAAUGCAGUUAUCUACACAAUAGAGUUCCAGAAGAGGGGACUCGCGCAUGCGCACAUAUUGGUAUUCCUCACGGAGAAUUACAAGUGCAAAGGACCAUCAGAAAUCGAUCAAAUAAUCAGUGCGGAGAUCCCAGACAAAGAUGUCGAUCCUGACAGAUAUGCAGCUGUUGAAAACUUCAUGAUGCACGGGCCUUGCGGAGAGGCAAAUACAAAAUCACCAUGCAUGAUGGACAAUAGAUUCACUAAAAACUUCCCAAAACGAUAUAAUGUCGAUACCACAAUCGAUGAGGAUGGCUUUCCAGUAUAUAGAAGGCGUGACAAUGGAAGGACGAUCAAAAAGGGAGGAGCAAUGCUCGACAACAGAUUUGUCGUGCCAUACAACUGAAACCUUUUGGUCAAAUUCCAAGCUCACAUAAAUGUCGAGUGGUGCAACAGGUCCAGGUCAAUCAAGUACCUAUUUAAGUACAUCCGUAAAGAUGACGACCAAGUAACAGCCUUACUAUAGGAAAGAGAUGUGGCAAACGACUAUGAUGAAAUCAAGAAAUACCUAGAGAUGAGAUACAUAUCAACAACUGAAGCAUGCUGGCGGAUAUUCCAGUUUGAUCUACACCAUCGUGAUCCACUAGUAGAGAGACUGCCAUUCCACAUUGAAAAUGAACAAGUUAUUUUUCCAGAAUCAACUGACAUCGAGAAGAUAGUAAGAAAGCCAGGAACUGCAAGUACUAAGUUCACUGAGUGGAUGGAGGCAAACAAAAUACAUGAGGUGGGAAAAGAAUUAACCUAUGCAGAAUUCCCAUCAAAAUUUGUAUGGAAAAGCGACACCAAAACUUGGGAGGAGCGGAAAAGAGGCUUUGCUAUUGGUAGAAUCUAC
rnacentral:lncRNA from 1 species